CUUAGAAGAACACCAGACAUUACCUUAGAUUCUCAGUUAUGACGGCCAAAUACAUGAGGAACAAUGUCCAAGGACUUGCACUGCUUUGUUUUGUUCUUGUGGUAUGCUUUGCCUGUCUUGGAUGCGCAAACGGUGAAAGCAUAAACGACAAGGGGAGCAACGGGAUGAUCGAAGUAGUCCGCCCCCCUUGUUAUAAAGACCAUCACCAGCCCCCAGACCUGCAAUAUUGUUGUCAAACGGACAGGAUAUGUUGGGUAAACCUUGGGGAAUGCUUCAUAAACUGCCCGUGCAAGAUUAAUUGCCCACCGCCACCAGCAACACAGUAGUUGUGCCAUCUCUCAUUCUUUGGGUUAAUAAAAAUCCCAACCUUAUGGGUCCCGAGAUAAUCAUGUGUUGAUCAGCUAGCAAAUUCUAUGUUUUCGCGAUUGCACCA